GCCCUUCCUCAGUCAGCAUGUACCUAAAAUAGCAUAGUCACAUCCAUUUAUUCAUGAAAGAUCAAACAAGAAAUGUGCAGCAUUUAAGAAAGAUACAAAUUUAAGUACAUAAAUCAGAUUACAAAACAAUACUUCAUUUCCACUGUGAAAUGUUGAAUUGCUAAAUCAGGUUGACUAGCAUUUACAUAUAAUACAACUAAUCAGUGAUUCAGUGUCCAGCAAUAGACUAAGAAUGCAUUUCAAGCCAUAUCACUUAAACACGCACAUGUACUACUAGCUGAUAUGUUUUCCCUAAACUUCAUACAUGAAUCACACAUGCAUGGUCAAGUUGAGUGCAAAAGAUUCCUCUCAAAGCAUUUUAAAAUUUAAAAAUUUUUCCAUUGUGUCCCAAAAGUGAAGCUUUU
rnacentral:misc_RNA from 1 species